CUGCCCGCUCCUGUUUCUCCACAGCUACCUGGCGAGCCAGUCUGUCCAAGGUUGAAGCUGCUUGAGCCUUCUGUCUGUCCACCUGCUCCUCAAUCUAGCAAUUUCAUGUAAAAAGGCGGGAAAUGAUCUGCCCUGGAUGUAUGACACACACCGUACACACUCCUGCAUCAUCCUCUCCGUCACUCAGCAGGUCGAUGCACUCCAGAACAGGCCUAAGAGGACCCUCCUGAAAGGAGAAGAAGAGAUUUACGGUCACAUUUCACUAAUAUGCGUCGCCAUCUUGAAGUGACGUCACGGAACGCGAUGACGUCCGAGGGACUUUGCGACACAGGUCUGUGAGGAGUCGGAAACCUGGUCAUGAAUAAAAAAUGUUAUAGAUUUCAGCAUAUCACAGGCUAUGUAUAUGUGAAUAUAUAUGUUUGGUGGAAAGAAAAAAAUUCUUGGCAAAAAAACCCAAGAUGUGACUGGAGGAAAAAGAAGAAUGGUUAUACAUGUUAAAUAAUAACAAUAAUAAUAAUAAUAAUAAUAAUAAUACCCACUGCUAGGUAUGGUGGAGGAUUUGUGAGCUAUGAUGUGGGGUUGUUUUGUUUUUCCUUCAUAGGCACUGUGAAGCUUGUUAGGAUGCAUAAUAUCAUUGACUCCAUGGAGUUCCAGUAGAUUUUAUGUUCAAACCUUUCUAUAUUUCACAAGAAGCUACAGAUGAGUACUUAAACUUAAACUUAACGUACUUAAACAUAUUGUUAUAGGGUCAUAAAUGGUGGCAAACAUUGGUAUCUGACUUAUUAACUGCAUAUGCUCUAAUAUACUAAAUUCAGCUUCAUAAUUAGGAAGAACAAUAAUUUUGAAGUAGGCAGGCUCACAGGGUGGUACAGCAGGUAGU